rnacentral:rRNA from 1 species
UCAGGACGAACGCUGGCGGCGUGCUUAACACAUGCAAGUCGAACGAUGACGGUGGUGCUUGCACCGCCUGAUUAGUGGCGAACGGGUGAGUAACACGUGAGUAACCUGCCCUCCACUUCGGGAUAACCUCGGGAAAUCGUGGCUAAUACCGGAUAUGAGCACUCAUCGCAUGGUGGGUGCUGGAAAGAUUUAUCGGUGGGGGAUGGACUCGCGGCCUAUCAGUUUGUUGGUGAGGUGAUGGCUCACCAAGACGAUGACGGGUAGCCGGCCUGAGAGGGCGACCGGCCACACUGGGACUGAGACACGGCCCAGACUCCUACGGGAGGCAGCAGUGGGGAAUAUUGCACAAUGGGCGAAAGCCUGAUGCAGCGACGCCGCGUGGGGGGAUGACGGCCUUCGGGGUUGUAAACCCCUUUCAGUAGGGAAGAAGCGAGAGUGACGGUACCUGCAGAAGAAGCGCCGGCUAACUACGUGCCAGCAGCCGCGGUAAUACGUAGGGCGCAAGCGUUGUCCGGAAUUAUUGGGCGUAAAGAGCUUGUAGGUGGCUUGUCGCGUCUGCCGUGAAAACCCGAGGCUCAACCUCGGGCGUGCGGUGGGUACGGGCAGGCUAGAGUGUGGUAGGGGAGACUGGAACUCCUGGUGUAGCGGUGAAAUGCGCAGAUAUCAGGAAGAACACCGAUGGCGAAGGCAGGUCUCUGGGCCAUUACUGACACUGAGAAGCGAAAGCAUGGGUAGCGAACAGGAUUAGAUACCCUGGUAGUCCAUGCCGUAAACGUUGGGCACUAGGUGUGGGGGACAUUCCACGUUUUCCGCGCCGUAGCUAACGCAUUAAGUGCCCCGCCUGGGGAGUACGGCCGCAAGGCUAAAACUCAAAGGAAUUGACGGGGGCCCGCACAAGCGGCGGAGCAUGCUGAUUAAUUCGAUGCAACGCGAAGAACCUUACCAAGGCUUGACAUGCACUGGACGGCUGCAGAGAUGUGGCUUUCUUUUGGACUGGUGCACAGGUGGUGCAUGGUUGUCGUCAGCUCGUGUCGUGAGAUGUUGGGUUAAGUCCCGCAACGAGCGCAACCCUCGUUCUAUGUUGCCAGCACGUGAUGGUGGGGACUCAUAGGAGACUGCCGGGGUCAACUCGGAGGAAGGUGGGGACGACGUCAAAUCAUCAUGCCCCCUUAUGUCUUGGGCUUCAAGCAUGCUA